UGCUGCCCUCUGAGCAAUGGCCUGUGU
rnacentral:piRNA from 1 species